rnacentral:rRNA from 1 species
UACGGAAGGCAGCAGUGGGGAAUAUUGCACAAUGGGCGAAAGCCUGAUGCAGCUAUGCCGCGUGUAUGAAGAAGGCCUUAGGGUUGUAAAGUACUUUCAUCGGGGAGGAAAAAACAAAACUAAUAAUUUUAUUUCUUGACGUUACCCGAAAAAGAAGCACCGGCUAACUCCGUGCCAGCAGCCGCGGUAAUACGGAGGGUGCUAGCGUUAAUCAGAAUUACUGGGCGUAAAGAGCACGUAGGUGGUUUUUUUAAAGUCAGAUGUGAAAUCCCUGGGCUUAACCUAGGAACUGCAUUUUGAAACUGAAAUACUAGAGUAUCGUAGAGGGAGGUAGAAUUCUAGGUGUAGCGGUGAAAUGCGUAGAUAUCUGGAGGAAUACCUGUGGCGAAAGCGGCCUCCUAAACGAAUACUGACACUGAGGUGCGAAAGCUGGGGAGCAAACAGGGAUUAGAUACC